rnacentral:rRNA from 1 species
UACGGGGGGGCAAGCGGUUGUUCGGAAUUACUGGGCGUAAAGGGCUCGUAGGCGGCCAACUAAGUCCGACGUGAAAUCCCCAGGCUUAACCUGGGAACUGCGUCGGAUACUGGAUGGCUUGAAUUCGGGAGAGGGAUGCAGAAUUCCAGGUGUAGCGGUGAAAUGCGUAGAUAUCUGGAGGAAUACCGGUGACGAAGGCGAGUCCCUAGACGACUCCUGACACUGAGGCACGAAAGCUAGGGGAGCAAACAGG